CCAUGUGAACCUGCAGAUAGCUUCCAUUUACUUCGAGAGUGAACAGCUUUUCUGCCUCGCUAGGCCCGACGGCCAUUCAUCGUUUCUCGUGGCAGCUGGGUUUGCGACGGAUCGCUAUGGAUGGGCUGGAGUUCUUCUUCGAGGAAGCCAAAUCAGGUGGUUCGUUGCAGAUUGAUUCCCAGGGUGGAGGUCGGUGAUCUUUUAGGGGGCGGGGGGGAUAUCGCUGCUGUGGAAUUGGUCGUUGCUCGAACCCAAGCAAGAUUUUCAAGAUUGAUUUUCAGUACUGCUUGUGCUUGAAAUUCAGUUUACUAGCUGAAUAAUCAGCUGUUUGUCAAAUGGAAGAUUUUCAGAACUGCUUGUGCUUGCGUAGUUGUGAGCUUGUUUCUAUGUUUGUGUCGCUGUCGUGCAUCACUUGUUUAAAAAAAAAUCAUGUAAUGCACUGACUUUGUCAUGGUGCUCUGUUCAAGAGUGUGAGUAACUGUAUCAGCGAUUGGAAUUC